GUGUCAGCCGCCGCGGUAAAACGUAGGAGGCGAGCGUUAUCCGGAUUUACUGGGUGUAAAGCGCGAGCAGGCGGCCCUGUAAGUGGUGUGUGAAAGCGCUCAGGCUCAACCGGGCGAGGACAUGCCAGACUGCGGGGCUAGAGGUAGGUAGAGGCGAGUGGAAUUCCGGGUGUAGUGGUGAAAUGCGUAGAGAUCCGGAGGAACACCAGUGGCGAAGGCGACUCGCUGGGCCUAAACUGACGCUCAGACGCGAAAGCAUGGGGAGCGAACGGGAUUAGAUACCCUAGUAGUCC
rnacentral:rRNA from 1 species